UACGUAGGUGGCAAGCGUUGUCCGGAUUUAUUGGGCGUACAGGGCGCGCAGGCGGUUCGUUUAGUCCGAGGUGAAAUCUCCUGGCUCAACUGAGAGAGGUCUUCGGAUACUGGCGGGCUUGAGGAGAGCAGAGGUGAGUGGAAUGCUGGGUGUAGUGGUGAAAUGCGUAGAUAUCCAGCGGAACACCAGUGGCGAAGGCGGCUCACUGGGCUCCACCUGACGCUGAGGCGCGAAAGCGUGGGGAGCGAACCGG
rnacentral:rRNA from 1 species